GGACUACAGGGGUUUCUAAUCCUGUUCGCUCCCCACGCUUUCGCUCCUCAGCGUCAGUAAUGGCCCAGAGACCCGCCUUCGCCACCGGUGUUCCUCCUGAUAUCUGCGCAUUCCACCGCUACACCAGGAAUUCCAGUCUCCCCUGCCAUACUCCAGCCGGCCCGUACCGGAAGCAGACCCGCAGUUAAGCUGCGGGCUUUCACUUCCGACGCGACCAGCCGCCUACGAGCCCUUUACGCCCAAUAAAUCCGGACAACGCUUGCACCCUACGUAUUACCGCGGCUGCUGGCAC
rnacentral:rRNA from 1 species